rnacentral:rRNA from 1 species
UACAGAGGGUGCAAGCGUUGUUCGGAAUUACUGGGCGUAAAGCGCACGUAGGCGGCUUUGCAAGUCCCAUGUGAAAGCCCACGGCUUAACCGUGGAAGUGCAUGGGAAACUGCAGAGCUUGAGUACUUAAGAGGAUCGCGGAAUUCCCGGUGUAGAGGUGAAAUUCGUAGAUAUCGGGAGGAACACCAGUGGCGAAGGCGGCGAUCUGGGAAGAUACUGACGCUGAGGUGCGAAAGCGUGGGGAGCAAACAGGG